ensembl:lncRNA
UACAUUUUCAGAUACAAAAUUCUAAUUUUGUCAGAAAGUUUUUUUUUUUUGCAAGGAAAGCGUGCUGUUAGUUAGCUAGCAAACAUCAGCUUGCUGGCUCGCUAGCUAACUUUACGUGUAUGAUCUGUGUAGUAAGAUUAUUUGAACCAGAAAUCCAUUUGCAUGGAUAGCUAGCUAACGUUGAACCUAGUUUGUUAGCUUUAGCUACCUGCAGAUUCAUACUACAGCUAUGACAAGGUUUGUAUUGGUAGUAGUAUGAGUUGGGAUUAUGCCGGUUAAUUGCUUAGCUAGCUACCUAGCUACAUGUCUAAACAAAAAAGACUCCACUUCGGCCAGAUUAUGACAUGACCCAUCAAAUUAGCCAGGUGUGAUUACGACCAUCUAUUGUAUUUCAUGAACAGGUGUACAUGUCUAGACAAUAGUGACCAAUCCACUUAGCUAGAUGUGGCUGGGAGGGUGGUUAGCGCAAAUCCUUCAUGUGACCCAUCAAUUUAGACAAGUAAUGAUAAAACACUUAUAAAAUAUUUUUUUCUGGACACUUUCUGUUUUUGAUAUUUCUACUAUGCAAGUAACCAUUUCACAGUACCGUUUACACCUUGAGUAUCCUGUGCAUGUGACAAAUAAACAUUGAUUUGAUUUGAUAUAGCGUAUGCUAAGGUUUAAGACGAUGCUGAACGGGUGUAGACAAAGAAGAGCUCUCCAGUAGUAGUACCAAUACAUUCCAAGGGCCACUUUCUCAAAAGUGGAGUUAUAAGUUGAUCAACUUUCAAAGCAGUGACUUUCCCAUUGUUCAUCGUCUGCAGUGUACGAUAUACCAUUUUGUAGCUCUGAGUCUCUACUUUUAUCCAAUGUAAAAAAUCUAAUACAAAUCAAAUGUUGUAUCAUCAGACCUAAUCAAGGCGGUCGGUCACAUUUGAUUUUUUUUUCAACAAAAAAUGCAUUAGAUAUUCCACCCCGUUCACAGAAAUGACUCACGCUUGCUAUAUAAGGGCAAGCAGACAGGCAUCGAGGCAAACAGUUACUGUUCCAAUGAACGUUAGAAUGGACAAAACAAGUGACAUAAUAGACUUCCAGUAUCUCAGAAAUGGCCAGCCUGCAGCAAUGACAUUGCAGGAUUUCAUCAAAUUACUUUCACAGCACAGAGUAAACGGACAGUCCUGGGGGCGUUGAAAUGAACGCCCAGGCCUUCUGGGUCUGCUCUAUCAGGUACUGAACAGAUGGCACUAAAGAGAAAACUGCAAUGAAUAAAUAAUCAUGACAGUUACUGGGAGCCUGGGACCUGAACCGGACAUCCACCAACAGUCAAAGGACACAUAUACACUAGCAAGAACCUUCUCACAGAUCUGUUAGGUCAAAAAAAACAUGGCUUUGUGCCCAAUUAGCAAAACAUUUUUUUAGUUUCUUCUGCCGUUAGAUGCUAUGCUAGUAAGCACUAGCUACCAAGAUAGCAUACCGUUAGCUAGCUUGCUAGCUCGUACGCCAAAUCAUGUCUUACUGAAGUUACUGGUGAGCUCAUCAUGCUUGUGACAUUAUGCUAGCUAGCUAUCCCCAGUUAGACAAUUUGUUUUCACUGGUCGCAUAUGUGCUUGUUGCGUUUUCCCCGUGUUUGUGUCACCUGCACACUGCUCGUUCUAAAAUAGAACCUUCUGCUAAUCAAAACCAUGGCAGCAUGUGCAGCAGAGGUGAUUCUGUUUUACAUGCAAAAAUGAAAUAGGUGUAUUUAUAUUUAUGCUGUUGUUCAAAUGCACAGUUCACUUUAUUAAUCUUCCCAAAGAAACAACCGGUAAUUUUAAAACUUGGGUUAAUAAUUCUGUCAUGCUGCUUUGUUGGCAAUAUGAACAGCAAAGGCUGGUCUGCUCUGAACAAAUCAGAUUAAAGUUUAUUUGUCACGUGCGCCGAAUACAACAGGUGGAGUAGACAGUGAAAUGCUUACUUACUUUCUAACCAACAGUGCAAAAAAAGGUAUUAGGUGAACAAUAGGCAAGUAAAGAAAUAAGACAACAGUAAAAAGACAGUGAAAAAUAACAGUAGCGAGGAUAUAUACAGUAGAGAGGCUAUUACAGUAGAGAGGCUAUAACAGUAGAGAGGCUAUAACAGUAGAGAGGCUAUAUACAGUAGAGAAGCUAUAACAGUAGAGAGGCUAUAACAGUAGAGAGGCUAUAUACAGUAGAGAGGCUAUAUACAGUAGAGAGGCUAUAACAGUAGAGAGGCUAUAUACAGUAGAGGCUAUAUACAGUAGAGAGGCUAUAUACAUUAGAGAGACUAUAUACAGUAGAGAGGCUAUAACAGUAAAGAGGCUAUAUACAGUAGAGAGGCUAUAUACAGUAGAGAGGCUAUAACAGUAGAGAGGCUAUAACAGUAGAGAGGCUAUAACAGUAGAGAGGCUAUGACAGUAGAGAGGCUAUAUACAGUAGAGAGGCUAUACCAGUAGAGAGGCUAUAACAGUAGAGAGGCUAUAACAGUAGAGAGGCUAUAACAGUAGAGAGGCUAUAACAGUAGAGAGGCUAUAACAGUAGAGAGGCUAUAACAGUAGAGAGGCUAUAACAAUAGAGAGGCUGUAACAGUAGCGAGGCUAUAACAGUAGAGAGGCUAUAACAGUAGCGAGGCUAUAACAGUAGAGAGGCUAUAACAGUGGAGAGGCUGUAAAACAGUAGAGAGGCUAUAACAGUAGAGAGGCUGUAACAGUAGCGAGGCUAUAACAGUAGAGAGGCUAUAACAGUAGCGAGGCUAUAACAGUAGCGAGGCUAUAACAGUAGCGAGGCUAUAACAGUAGAGAGGCUAUAACAGUAGAGAGGCUAUAACAGUAGCGAGGCUAUAACAGUAGCGAGACUAUAACAGUAGCGAGGUUAUAACAGUAGCGAGGCUGUAUACAGGCACCGGUUAGUUGGGCUGAUUGAGGUAGUAUGUACAUGUAGAUACGGUUAAAGUGACAAAGCAAAUAUGAUAAACAGAGAGUAGCAGUAGCAGGGUUGGUCAGUGGUGGGUGGCAGGACACAAUGCAGAUAGCCCGGUUAGGCAAUGGGCGGGAGCACUGGUUGGUUGGCCCAAUUGAGGUAGUAUGUACAUGAAUGUAAAGUUAAAGUGACUAUGUAUAUAUGACAAACAGAGAGUAGCGGCAGCGUAAAAGAGGGGUUGGGGGGGAGGCACACAAUGCAAAUAGUCUGGGUAACCAUUUGAUUACCUGUUCAGGAGUCUUAUGGCUUGGGGGUAAUAACUGUUCAGAAGCCUUUUUGUCCUAGACUUGGCACUCCGGUACCGCUUGCCAUGCGGUAGUAGAGAACAGUCUAUGACUGGGGUGGCUGGGGUCUUUGACAAUUUUUAGGGCCUUCCUCUGACACUGCCUGGUGUAGAGGUCCUGGAUGGCUGGCAGCUUAGCCCCAGUGAUGUACUGGGCCUUACACACUACCCUCUGUAGUGCCUUGCGGUCGGAGGCCGAGCAGUUGCCGUACCAGACAGUGAUGCAACCAGUCAGGAUGCUCUUGAUGUUGCAAAAAAAUUAUGAGGAUUGAGGCUUCACUCCUGCACCUACACUCUCUUUAAAAGCCCUCUUUGGUGAUUGGAUGCCAUGAUGAGAUGAGAUGGGGAGAUAGGCCCCUGACGGAAAAAGCCAGGCACCAGUGUUUCCUUGCACAACCACCGCUCUGAUAAGAUCAUACUUUGGCUGGUGAUGAAGCCCAGGGUCAGCCGGCCAGAAGACAAAACUGAAAGUAAUGUCAAGGGACCAAAAAGAAGAGCGUGACUGCAAAAUAAUUCAAUAAAUACAGAAUUGUAUUCAUUAAUUUAUUAACGCUAGGAGUUUCCAUAGAGUACAAUAUGAUAUAGAUGUAUUGAUAUGUGAUUGAAUAACUGUCUCUUUUGAUAACAUCACGUCUCUUCAAUCAACUUGAUAUUGAAUGCAAAAAUAAAUGAAUGAUGUCUGGUCUGUGGCAUGAGACCUAUGUGUUAAUGCGUUCUAAGACGCGAGUGCAUUCUUAUCUAAAAAAAGAUGGGGGUAAAAAUGAUUGGCACCCCUGUUUUUCAAUAAUCCAGCACCCUCCCCUUGCGAGGAUAAUGACACUGAGCCUUUUUUUUUUUUAAAUCAUGAGAUUGGAGAACGCAUUGUGAGGGAUCUUAGACCAUACUUCCAUACAGAAUCUUUCCAGAUCAUUGAUAUCCUUUGUCCGCGCUUAUGGUCUCCCCUCUGGUCUCCCCAUAGAGUGGGCUGCCCAUGCACUGCCCAUAGUACCGGUUCCAGUCCA